rnacentral:rRNA from 1 species
AACGGAGCUUAGAGAGCUUGCUUUUUAAGCUUAGUGGCGAACGGGUGAGUAACGCGUGAGUAACCUGCCCUAGAGUGGGGGACAACAGUUGGAAACGACUGCUAAUACCGCAUGACACAUAGAGAUCGCAUGGUUUUUAUGUCAAAGAUUUAUCGCUGAAAGAUGGCCUCGCGUCUGAUUAGCUAGUUGGUGAGGUAACGGCCCACCGGGGCGAUGAUCGGUAGGGGUUCUGAGAGGAAGGUCCCCACACUGGAACUGAGACACGGUCCAGACUCC